rnacentral:lncRNA from 1 species
UUUUUUCAUCACCAGAUUCAUCAUUUAGCCACAUCACGUGCCUUUUUAAAUCAUUUUUUUUAAGUUUAUACCAUCUCUUCAUUUUUUUCCUUAUUAUCUUGGAUUUCUUUUCAAAAGAAUGUAAGAAUCUUUUAAGCACAUCAUCAUUUUUUAAAUUAUGAUAAAUAUAAUGCAUUCAUACAUUUUUUCGAUUUAUUUUGGAGAUGCAACAAUAAGAGAACACAAGGUGAAUUACGAGAG